GACGAACGCUGGCGGCGUGCUUAACACAUGCAAGUCGAACGGAAAGGCCUCUUUCGGGGGGUACUCGAGUGGCGAACGGGUGAGUAACACGUGAGUAACCUGCCCUUGACUUUGGGAUAACUUCAGGAAACUGGGGCUAAUACCGGAUAGGAGCUCCUGCUGCAUGGUGGGGGUUGGAAAGUUUCGGCGGUUGGGGAUGGACUCGCGGCUUAUCAGCUUGUUGGUGGGGUAGUGGCUUACCAAGGCUUUGACGGGUAGCCGGCCUGAGAGGGUGACCGGCAACAUUGGGACUGAGAUACGGCCCAGACUCCCACGGGAGGCAGCAGUGGGGAAUAUUGCACAAUGGGUGGAAGCCUGAUGCAGCAACGCCGUGUGCGGGAUGACGGCCUUCGGGUUGUAAACCGCUUUCGCUCAUGACGAAGCUUUGUGUGACGGUAGUGGGUAAAGAAGCACCGGCUAACUACGUG
rnacentral:rRNA from 1 species